UACGUAGGGGGGCUAGCGUUGUCCGGAAUCAUUGGGCGUAAAGCGCGUGUAGGCGGUCCGGUAAGUCCGCUGUGAAAGUCGGGGGCUCAACCCUCGGAUGCCGGUGGAUACUGUCGGGCUUGAGUACGGAAGAGGCGAGUGGAAUUCCUGGUGUAGCGGUGGAAUGCGCAGAUAUCAGGAGGAACACCAAUAGCGAAGGCAGCUCGCUGGGACGGUAUUGACGCUAAGGCGCGAAAGCGUGGGGAGCAAACAGG
rnacentral:rRNA from 1 species